GUGGGGGAUAUUGCACAAUGGGGGAAACCCUGAUGCAGCAACGCCGCGUGAAGGAAGAAGGUCUUCGGAUUGUAAACUUUUGUCUUGCGGGACGAAUAAUGACGGUACCGCAGGAGGAAGCCACGGCUAACUACGUGCCAGCAGCCGCGGUAAUACGUAGGUGGCGAGCGUUGUCCGGAAUUACUGGGUGUAAAGGGUGCGUAGGCGGAUUUGCAAGUCAGGUGUGAAAACUAUCGGCUUAACCGGUAGCCUGCACUUGAAACUGUAAGUCUUGAGUGGUGAAUAGGUAAGCGGAAUUCCUAGUGUAGCGGUGAAAUGCGUAGAUAUUAGGAGGAACACCAGUGGCGAAGGCGGCUUACUGGGCACUAACUGACGCUGAGGCACGAAAGCAUGGGGAGCAAACAGGAUUAGAAACCCUGGUAGUCC
rnacentral:rRNA from 1 species